rnacentral:rRNA from 1 species
CACGGGUGAGUAACACGUGGAUAAUCUGCCCAUCAGUUUGGAACAACAGUUGGAAACGACUGCUAAUACUGGAUACGAUCUGAUUUUACGGUUAGAUGAAAGGAGGCCUCUGCUUGCAAGCUUCGCUGAUGGAUGAGUCCGCGGCUCAUUAGGUAGUUGGUGGGGUAACGGCCUACCAAGCCGACGAUGAGUAGCCGGCCUGAGAGGGUAAUCGGCCACACUGGGACUGGAACACGGCCCAG